rnacentral:tRNA from 1 species
GGGAAAGUGGCUCAGUGGUAGAGUGCUUGCUUUGCAUGCAUGAGGUCCUGGAUUCGAUUCCCCAGCACCA